rnacentral:lncRNA from 1 species
GGGUUAAAGUCAUGCUGAGGCCCGGAUUUCUCAUGGCUACGUUGCUGGCUGUGGUGUCGGUCACGGGGUGUCCCAUAGUGGGUCGUCGACUUGUACUUUGGGAGGUCUGGACGGGGAAUGGAGUACAGUAUCAACAAGCUUCAGGAGCAGCCACUAAAAGCAGUUCAUAUAUGUAAGGAUCUGCUAUGCCUCCCUUCUG